rnacentral:rRNA from 1 species
CCUACGGGCGGCUGCAGUGGGGAAUAUUGGACAAUGGGCGAAAGCCUGAUCCAGCAAUGCCGCGUGAGUGAUGAAGGCCUUAGGGUUGUAAAGCUCUUUUACCCGGGAAGAUAAUGACGGUACCGGGAGAAUAAGCCCCGGCUAACUCCGUGCCAGCAGCCGCGGUAAUACGGAGGGGGCUAGCGUUGUUCGGAAUUACUGGGCGUAAAGCGCACGUAGGCGGCUUUGCAAGUUAGAGGUGAAAGCCUGGGGCUCAACUCCAGAAUUGCCUUUAAGACUGCAUCGCUCGAAUCCGGGAGAGGUGAGUGGAAUUCCGAGUGUAGAGGUGAAAUUCGUAGAUAUUCGGAAGAACACCAGUGGCGAAGGCGGCUCACUGGACCGGUAUUGACGCUGAGGUGCGAAAGCGUGGGGAGCAAACAGGAUUAGAUACCCCAGUAGUC